AAAUAAAUACGCCUUUUUCAGGCAAUCGUAAAACCCCAGCUUUCCGUCUUCGACUCUCUCAGAGCUUCAUCACUCUAUCAAUCAAGUUCCCAAUCUCAGAGAAGACACUCACCGAUUGUGAUGGGGAAAGCGGAUAAAGAGCGACUCAUCCGAACUCUCAAUUCCCAUCUCAAUACCAUCCAUGAAACUUUUCAGAUGUUGGAUCAAAAUCCAUCUUCUUCCCUUGAAAUCGUGAAGUGGGAGGAUGUUGUAAAAAUGGGCGACCAAGUCUACAAGCAGGCGAGUGUCGCUGGAAUGGUGUGGACUGGAGAGAGGCUAGAAGUUAAAGCAAUUGAGGAAAACAUGGCAGCUUAUUUCAACACGCUGCAAGGUUUCCUCCUGGUUUCCUUUGGGAGUAAAGUGGGUGCUGGCCCUACUCUGUCUUCUGUUAUCCAUGCAGCUGUUAAGCAAGUAAUUGAUUCCAGUUUUAGGUUAUGGAAGGAAUCCGUCUCCUUCUAUGGAUCACAGAAUAAUAAAGACCAAACCCAAGUAGUUCCACAAUUGGUUGGUGCGGUUUGGGAUGCUUGCUCUGCCCUUAAGAAAACUCCUUCCACAAAUAUAACUGCAAUUGGCCGAGCAAUAACCCAGGUAGCUGUGUCGGUGAAGGACGUCCUCCGAGAGAUGAAGGAUCUUAAACAAGGUUCCUCUGACUUGGAUGAAGCUCCUGAAGAAUCUUCUAGCAAAGUAGAAGGUGAUACACAAGAUGAUGGUAAUACAAGCGACGAUGCCGAUAUAGGUAACGAUUUGUCAGCCGACGAGAUGAGAGUUGCUCAAUCUGCCAUGAGUGUUGUUUCUUCAACACUUCUAGUUAUAAAGGAACUCAUCCGCUCUAUCACAAGUUUGCUCAAGCUGGAAAAUGCAAACAUUCAAAGUAACAUAGCGUCCUUGGAGAAUCUAUUGAAGCUAUGCCAAGGAAUAGGAGUGCAGGUGGACGAGCUUGGAGCUUGUCUUUACCCCCCACAAGAGAUCCCUGCCAUUAAAGCAGCUUCUGAAAAAAUUUCUAGCUUUCUUGACAAUAUGCAGGCAGAGUUAGGAAGUCUUAAUGGUAAUUCAGAAGGCUUUCUUCAGGCAUGCAACGAUCUGCAAAAUUCAUGUAAACAGCUCGAGACCGAACUAAGUGGCUCCACGGCUACUGAUAUAGAAAGUCGAAUGGAGAAUGUGACUUUAAGCAACUGAAGGAGAUUAUGUGAUAUUAUCUCCAGCUCACACAACUUAUUUCUGAUUCAAUUGUCAGCGGAGGGGGAUCCUCUCAGAGAUGUAAAAUUAGGGUUGAAUCCGCGGAUCCGCCCUUGGAGCGAUGGUAUAAGAAGAAUUUGGUCAUCGCCUUGAGAGCUUGACCACCAUCCAAAAAGGGAGCUGCCAGAAGCACCUGAGUUAAAGGGUCUGUUGACGGUUUAAGUACAGCAGCUUCCACCACUGCACCAACCACAGCGUAUCUCCAAAAUUGAAAGCAUUUGGCUUCUUUGACACCUGCCGAACU